AACGUAGGUGGCGAGCGUUAUCCGGAUUUACUGGGCGUAAAGGGUGUGUAGGCGGUUGUUUAAGUUUGGUGUGAAAUCUCCCGGCUCAACUGGGAGGGUGCGCCGAAUACUGAAUGACUUGGAGUGCGGGAGAGGAGAGUGGAAUUCCUGGUGUAGCGGUGAAAUGCGUAGAUAUCAGGAGGAACACCGGUGGUGUAGACGGCUCUCUGGACUGUAACUGACGCUGAGACACGAAAGCGUGGGUAGCAAACAGG
rnacentral:rRNA from 1 species